rnacentral:rRNA from 1 species
UACGGAGGGUGCAAGCAUUGAUCGGAAUUACUGGGCGUAAAGGGCGCGUAGGCGGCCGAGAAAGUCAGAUGUGAAAUUCCGGGGCUCAACCCCGGAGCUGCAUUUGAAACUUCUCGGCUAGAGGAUGGUUAGGGAAAACGGAAUUCCACGUGUAGCGGUGAGAUGCGUAGAUAUGUGGAAGAACACCAGUGGUGAAGACGGUUUUCUGGGCCAAACCUGACGCUGAGGCGCGAAAGCUAGGGGAGCAAACAGG